rnacentral:rRNA from 1 species
CAAUAGCGUAUAUUAAAGUUGUUGCGGUAAAAAAGCUCGUAGUUGGAUUUCUGUUGAGAGCGACCGGUCCAUACCAUGUAUGCGUACCUGGCUUGCUCUCGGCAUCCUCUCGAUAGACGUUACUGCGCUUGAUUGCGUGGUGCGGAUCUCGGGACUUUUACUUUGAGGAAAUUAGAGUGUUCACGGCAGGCUUUCGCCAGAAUACAUUAGCAUGGAAUAAUACUAUAGGAUCUUGGUUCUAUUUUGUUGGUUUCUAGAAUUGAGAUAAUGAUUAAUAGGGACAAUUGGGGGCAUUCGUAUCAACACGUCAGAGGUGGAAUUCUUGGAUUGUGUUGCGACGAACUACUGCGAAAGCAUUUGCCAAGGAUGUUUUCAUUGA